rnacentral:rRNA from 1 species
GACGAACGCUGGCGGCGUGCUUAACACAUGCAAGUCGAACGGAAAGGCCUGCUUUCCCUUGUGGAUUGCGGGUACUCGAGUGGCGAACGGGUGAGUAACACGUGAGUGAUCUGCCCCCAACUUGGGUAUAAGCCUGGGAAACUGGGUCUAAUUCCCGAUAGGACUGCAGGGUGGUGCCUGUGGUGGAAAACGAUUUUCUAGUGGUUGGGGAUGAGCUCGCGGCCUAUCAGCUUGUUGGUGGGGUAAUGGCCUACCAAGGCGGCGACGGGUAGCCGGCCUGGGAGGGUGGACGGCCACAUUGGGACUGAGAUACGGCCCAGACUCCUACGGGAGGCAGCAGUGGGGGAUAUUGCACAAUGGGCGGAAGCCUGAUGCAGCGACGCCGCGUGGGGGAUGACGGCCUUCGGGUUGUAAACUCCUUUCGACCGCGAGGAAGCCACCUGGUUGGAAGGGUGGUGACGGUAGUGGUAGAAGAAGCACCGGCUAACUACGUG